GAUGAACGCUGGCGGCGUGCCUAAUACAUGCAAGUCGAGCGAACGGACGAGAAGCUUGCUUCUCUGAUGUUAGCGGCGGACGGGUGAGUAACACGUGGAUAACCUACCUAUAAGACUGGGAUAACUUCGGGAAACCGGAGCUAAUACCGGAUAAUAUUUUGAACCGCAUGGUUCAAAAGUGAAAGACGGUCUUGCUGUCACUUAUAGAUGGAUCCGCGCUUCAUUAGCUAGUUGGUAAGGUAACGGCUUACCAAGGCAACGAUGCAUAGCCGACCUGAGAGGGUGAUCGGCCACACUGGAACUGAGACACGGUCCAGACUCCUACGGGAGGCAGCAGUAGGGAAUCUUCCGCAAUGGGCGAAAGCCUGAGGGAGCAACGCCGCGUGAGUGAUGAAGGUCUUCGGAUCGUAAAACUCUGUUAUUAGGGAAGAACAUAUGUGUAAGUAACUGUGCACAUCUUGACGGUACCUAAUCAGAAAGCCACGGCUAACUACGUG
rnacentral:rRNA from 1 species